AAGAAGUUAGUUAAAUAAUAACAUUAGCAUGUCAAACUAAAAUUAUUAAAAUAUUAAUAUUUCUUU
rnacentral:tRNA from 1 species